rnacentral:lncRNA from 1 species
AAUCUCCUAUACCGAAAACGACGAUCCAAUUAAAUCUAUGAAUGUUGUUGUGGGGAGAGCAUUCUGAGUUGCUGGAGACACUGUUAUCGUAUUUGUGUCAGAUUUGGCUGUUAUGAAACAAAUCAGUAUGCAAAACUUUCUUCAGCUAUUUCUGAGUGCCUUUUCUUCUUUGCUGGAUGAGAUGGACAGGUCUUCAAGCAGAGAUGUCUUACUUAAAGAAUCAAUUUGAGAAGAUUAGAGAACUGUAAGGCGUAACAUCAUGAAACAAAACCAAAACAAUGUCAAAACCUUGUGAAAAUGAUGGAGUCCCAUCCAUCACUUCAGGAGAGAAGCUGGGAGCAAAGUUAAAGCCUUCAGAGCACUGGAACAGCUAAAGUUAAGCAGCAAAACUGAAUUAAAAGCAAGUUGUAGACCUGACAUGAAGUUUUAGGAGGCUCAUGGCAGGCUGGAUGGACCCCGUCAUAGACAAUGCUAUGUCGAAGGAAGUAAACUGUGCACGUUGGAUGCUGUCCCAACAGCACACCCACCUUUAUCUUGAAGUCCAGUUCUUUCAUACCAACUCAACAACAUAUCUUGCACGUCUGACAGAAAGCAGUCAAGAAGAAACAGUGUGCACGGUGCUGGAGGACAGAAGGUACAGCUGAGUUCAAGAUGUACAGAAGUCAGGAACUCACAGUAAUACAGUAGAAAUGUUGUUCGUACCCAAUGCUUCCAGUUAUUGCAUCCAGAACUGUUUUCCUUCUGCCAUUUGUGUAAAUAUGCUGUCUGCAUGAGAUUCUGCAAAUAUGCCAAAAUAGCCAGGAGAGUCUGAGGUGAUUUAUGGUUUAUCGUGCCAUAUGGAGCAUGUAUAUGUUUGCAGAAAGGGGAAGAAUGUUUCAAAGAUCACAGAAGGGUGUUUCCUAGGAUGAUUCAGGGCUUGAUGCUGUAUGAAAGGUUUUUGGAAAUUUUCACCCCAUUUUAAAGGUCUCAGCUGCCACUCAAGCUGAAUUAGAUCUGUU